AAAUGAUUUCCGUUAUACCCGCCCUGCCCCCGCCCUGUUGGGCGCGAGACUCCGCCUUCUCUCCCCUCAGCCAACGGGUUGGGCGCGCUGAGUUCGCGACCUUUAGUUGUAAUCUGGCGGGGCGCCACUGCGCAGCCGCAGGCCUUUGCCAGCUGGAGGCUGGAGGCAAGGACAGAAGCUCUUAGAGCGUUUUCUUUUUCCCUUUCCUCAAUUCCUGCAAACAAUAUAAGGAGUUUUCUUUCAGGAGAGGUCUUCAUUUUGCGCCUGUUUGCUUAUUUAUUUAUUUAUGAGAUGGAGUCUCACUCUGUCGCCCAGGCUGUGAUCUCGGCUCACUGCAACCUCUGCCUCCCGGGUCAACGGGACGAGUGUUUUUACUCCUAUUUUACAAGUGGACCAAGGGAAUCUUCUGCAAGACCACACAGAAAGGCCAGGAAUCACCCAAGCUCUGACUGCAAAAACUGCAAUUUUCACCCUGCUGCACAGUUCCAUAUACAUGAUGGAGUACAAUGGAAUGAUCCUGGCUUGUUGCAACCUCUGCUUCCCGAGUUCAAGUGAUUCUUCUGCCUCAGCCUAUGGAGUAGCUGGGAUUACAGGCAUGCCACCACUCUUGGGAGAUACAUCCAGAAAACUGCAUUGCAAUUUCAAAUCCAAGUUGGACAAGUUUUUUUUUUUUUUACACAGACAUCACCAUGUUAGAAAAGUUGGAAAAGUUUUGAAACCAUUCUGAUCCUAUCCUUCUUGUCUUCCAAUUCCUUCCAAGGCAUCUUAUUAUUUAUUUGUUUCUAAUUUUCCCAUUAUUAAAGAGGUUGAAUAUCUUUUUUCCAGAGCUAGUUUGGGUUCUGAUUUUCUUCACUUUCCUGAUGGAGUUAUUUUAGAAUUGAAGGGCAUCAUAGCAACUGAGGCAGUAUUGACAUCAUCAAUAUUUUAGGAUUACAGGUAACCAUAUUUCCCAGUUGACUUGAGACAGUGCCAGUUUAUACCUCUUGUCGUGUGUGUGUGUGUGUGUGUGUGUGUGUGUGUGUUUUCUGAGACAGAAUCUCGCUCUGUUGCCCAGCUGGAGUGCAGUGGCAUGAUCUCGGCUCACUGCAACCUCUACCUCCCGGGCUCAUGUGAUUCUCUUGCCUCAGCCUCCCGAGUAGCUGGUAUUACAGGCAAGCGCCACCACGCCUGAUAAAUUUUUGUAUUUUUAGUAGAGACAGGGUUUCAUUAUGUUGGCCAGUCUGGUGUCGAACUCUUGACCUCAAGUGAUCCUCCUGCCUUGGCCUCCCAAAGUGACGGGAUUAUAGGUGUGAGCCACUGCACCUGGCCCUAGUAUAUUUUAUAAUAGGAUUGCAUUCAAUCUUGAAAGUGUCUGAUUUUGAUGAAAAGUCAUUUAUUAGGCUGGGCACCUGUAAUCCCAGCUACUCAGGAGGCUGAGGAAGGAGAAUCACUGAACCCAGGAGGCAGAGGUUGCAGUGAGCCAAGAUCAGGCCACUGUAUUCCAGCUUGUGCAACAGAGCAAGACUUGGUCUCACCAGAAAAAAAAAAAGGUCAUUUAUUAUCUGAAAUACACAUCAAAAUACCACUAUUGGCAUUUUGCUACGGUGUCUCCACCAGUGGGAGCAGGAUCAUCAUAAAGGGUGGGGUUUGUUCUGCCUCCUUCUCUGUUGUAUCCCCAGAGCCCAGAACAGUACCCAGAACCCAGUAAGUGCUUAAUAAGUAUGAAUACAUCUGUGCAUAAAUUCAUUUCUUGGGACUUGGCACAUUGCCACUUGAACAAAUGGAUUCUAUUAACAAGGAAUAUGAAGCAAUGAUUUUGGGGUACACAACUCAUGGUGCCUGCCAAAACAUGCAUUUUAGAUUUUGAUAGAUACCGUCAAGUUAUUCUCCACAGGGGCUGAGCCGGUUUACACUCCCACCAGCAAUAUGUGAGAGCAUCUGUUUCUCUAACCUUCAACCACAUGGUGUUAUCAAAAUUUUUAUCUGUGCCAAUCUGGUAGUUUAAAUUUGCAUUUCCCUUAUUAUGAAAAGAUAGAGCAUACUUUCGUAUGUUUAAAAGCCGUCUGAAAUUUCUAAGAACUGUCUGUUCAUAUCCUCUGCCCAUUUUUUUUUUUCCCAGUGAAUUACUGGUCUUUUAUCAAUCUGUAAAAAUACAAAUAGUUGUUCCAAGGUUUUCAUGUCUUUGCAUUUGUUUAUGGUGUUGUUGUAAACACAAUUUAAAACAUGAAUUUUUAUUUAGCUUCUUUCCUUUCAUUGCAUCUAUAUUUUGCAUCAAGCUUAGACUUUCCC